CGGUUACAUCUGGUUAAAGCACCAGUUCCCGUGCGAUCACCGAAGUUAAGCAACGUUGAGACUGUUCAGUACUUAGAUGGGUGACACAUUGAGAAUAUCAAGUGCUGUA